UCGGGAAUUUUGGGCAAUGGGGGAAACCCUGACCCAGCAACGCCGCGUGAAGGAUGAAGUAUUUCGGUAUGUAAACUUCGAAAGAAUAGGAAGAAUAAAUGACGGUACUAUUUAUAAGGUCCGGCUAACUACGUGCCAGCAGCCGCGGUAAUACGUAGGGACCAAGCGUUGUUCGGAUUUACUGGGCGUAAAGGGCGCGUAGGCGGCAUGACAAGUCACUUGUGAAAUCUCUGGGCUUAACCCAGAACGGCCAAGUGAUACUGUCGCGCUAGAGUGCAGAAGGGGCAAUCGGAAUUCUUGGUGUAGCGGUGAAAUGCGUAGAUAUCAAGAGGAACACCUGAGGUGGAGACGGGUUGCUGGGCUGACACUGACGCUGAGGCGCGAAAGCCAGGGGAGCAAACGGGAUUAGAUACCCACGUAGUCCCUGAGCGGGCUGGCAAGGCGCAU
rnacentral:rRNA from 1 species